UACGGGGGGGGCAAGCGUUGUUCGGAAUUACUGGGCGUAAAGGCUCGUAGGCGGCCAACUAAGUCAGACGUGAAAUCCCUCGGCUUAACCGGGGAACUGCGUCUGAUACUGGAUGGCUUGAGUUCGGGAGAGGGAUGCGGAAUUCCAGUGUAGCGGUGAAAUGCGUAGAUAUCUGGAGGAACACCGGUGGCGAAGGCGGCAUCCUGGACCGAUACUGACGCUGAGGAGCGAAAGCCAGGGAGCAAACGGG
rnacentral:rRNA from 1 species